AACUCUAUUUACACGACGUCUCUUCUGAGUGGCACAAGCAAAUAAUUAAAACUUUUAACAACGGAUCUCUUGGUUCUGGCAUCGAUGAAGAACGCAGCGAAAUGCGAUAAGUAAUGUGAAUUGCAGAAUUCAGUGAAUCAUCGAAUCUUUGAACGCACAUUGCGCUCGCCAGCAUUCUGGCGAGCAUGCCUGUUCGAGCGUCAUUUCAACCCUCAAGCACCGCUUGGUUUUGGGGCCCCACGGCACACGUGGGCCCUUAAAGGUAGUGGCGGACCCUCCCGGAGCCUCCUUUGCGUAGUAACUAACGUCUCGCACUGGGAUUCGGAGGGACUCUUGCCGUAAAACCCCCCAAUUUUUUUACAGGUUGANCUCGGAUCAGGUAGGAAUACCCGCUGAA
rnacentral:rRNA from 1 species